AGUGAACGCUGGCGGCAGGCCUAACACAUGCAAGUCGAACGGCAGCACAGGAGAGCUUGCUCUCUGGGUGGCGAGUGGCGGACGGGUGAGGAAUACAUCGGAAUCUACUCUGUCGUGGGGGAUAACGUAGGGAAACUUACGCUAAUACCGCAUACGACCUACGGGUGAAAGCAGGGGAUCUUCGGACCUUGUGCGAUUGAAUGAGCCGAUGUCGGAUUAGCUAGUUGGCGGGGUAAAGGCCCACCAAGGCGACGAUCCGUAGCUGGUCUGAGAGGAUGAUCAGCCACACUGGAACUGAGACACGGUCCAGACUCCUACGGGAGGCAGCAGUGGGGAAUAUUGGACAAUGGGCGCAAGCCUGAUCCAGCCAUACCGCGUGGGUGAAGAAGGCCUUCGGGUUGUAAAGCCCUUUUGUUGGGAAAGAAAUCCAGCUGGCUAAUACCCGGUUGGGAUGACGGUACCCAAAGAAUAAGCACCGGCUAACUUCGUGCCAGCAGCCGCGGUAA
rnacentral:rRNA from 1 species